ensembl:snRNA U6 U6 spliceosomal RNA
CUGACCCAAGAAAAAAUAGAUAGUGUUACUAAACGUGAAUCAAUAUAGAGAUUAGCAUGGCCCCUGUGUAAGGAUGACAUACAAAUUCAUGCAGUGUCCCUAUUUUUC